AGCUGAUGAGAUACUUGGAGAAAACUUCAGCAAAUGCUCCUUUUAGAGAGAACAUCAAUGUGGCACCAAAAAGUGGAGGAUGGACUGGGAUCCUUGUUUAUAACUUGCUCAUCCAUUCAUUCCUCCAUUCCCUGGCCAAAUCUACUUUUCUGGAGGUCUGCAAGCAAAGACUGCAUAUCAACUAUUGAGAUUCAAAGUGCAGCAGUUUUAGCCACCUUCAGGAUGCCCUCAGAUCUUAAUACUUCAGUAUCUCCUCUUGCAGACAGUCUUCCAUCACAAGACUGGACUCCCAACUUCCAGAAGCUUCUGGAAAUUUCUCCCAUCUUCACCACUUGCAAGGAAAGAACUCUUUCAUUACUAUGGGAGGACUGUAAUUGGCCUGGCUUGGGACUACUCCACACACUAAUUCUUGUUACCUGAAAAAUGAGGUAUUACCUUUACCCCAACUUAGACCUUAAGUCCAUUUUGGUGGGGGGAAAGGAAAAGAGAUCUAUCACUAGAAUAUUUAGG